rnacentral:RNase_P_RNA from 1 species
CGGAGAGCUCCAGGCGGUCGCUCCGCAGCGCCUCCGGGCGGGUGCGGAGAGGAAAGUCCGAGCUCCAACGGGCAGCAUGCUCGCUAACGGCGAGGCGCGGCGACGCGACGGAAAGUGCAACAGAGAAGAGACCGCCCGGUGUCGGGCCCGCAAGGGUCGGGCGCCAGGUAAGGGUGAAACGGUGCGGUAAGAGCGCACCGCUCCGGCGGCGACGGCGGAGGCAAGGCAAACCCCAUGCGGAGCAAGACCAAAUAGGGAAGCGGUAGUCGGGCUGCCCGUCCCGCCUCCGGGCUCGAUUCGUCGGGUCAGGGGCCGCUUCCGGGUAGGUUGCUCGAGGCCGGCGGCAACGCCGGUCCCAGAGGAAUGACCGGCAACCGGCGCUUGCGCCGGGUCACAGAACUCGGCUUACGGAGCUCUCCGGCCU